rnacentral:snRNA from 1 species
GUUGAGACUUAUUUUCCCUUCCCU